UAGGGAAUCUUCCACAAUGGACGCAAGUCUGAUGGAGCAACGCCGCGUGAGUGAAGAAGGUUUUCGGAUCGUAAAGCUCUGUUGUUGGUGAAGAAGGAUAGAGGCAGUAACUGGUCUUUAUUUGACGGUAAUCAACCAGAAAGUCACGGCUAACUACGUGCCAGCAGCCGCGGUAAUACGUAGGUGGCAAGCGUUGUCCGGAUUUAUUGGGCGUAAAGCGAGCGCAGGCGGAAUGAUAAGUCUGAUGUGAAAGCCCACGGCUCAACCGUGGAACUGCAUCGGAAACUGUCAUUCUUGAGUGCAGAAGAGGAGAGUGGAAUUCCAUGUGUAGCGGUGGAAUGCGUAGAUAUAUGGAAGAACACCAGUGGCGAAGGAGGCUCUCUGGUCUGCAACUGACGCUGAGGCUCGAAAGCAUGGGUAGCGAACAGG
rnacentral:rRNA from 1 species